CCAAGGAAUACACUCUGAAAUUGGUAAGGGAUAAGCCUUGCACCGAAUGAGCCCGAAAGCAACAAACGAUCAAGGGAUGUGGAUCGAAAGGUGACACAAGAGGGGCGGAAAGUCUCUUGAUACUACCCUAUAAUGACCGCCUCUAGAUAUGACACACUAGAUUAGACCAAGUUAGACUGAAGGAUAUUACACACCAACAAUCAUAAAAGUUUUGACCAAUGGAUAUGACACACCAUGAUCGAAAACAAGUUUGAUCCCUUGGAUAUGACGCACCAAGACGGAUCGAAAAGAUCAAUGGAUAUUACACACCAUUGAAAGAAAAGUGAGAAUCACUCUCAAGGUUCCAAAAAUAAUCACUCAAAGCUUAUUUUAUUUCAAUGGAGAUUACAACUUAUUUAUAAGAGACUAAACUUGCUCACAAAGCUAGAUAGUUAUUACAUUGGAAAUGAUAAAACUAGUGCAUGGAGGAGAGAGAGUGUUCUUGAAACAAGCAUUCUUUGCAUGUAGGAGAGAGAAGCUUUCCAUGCAAUUAACCACCUAAUUUUCGUCACUCUCUUUGGACAGCAAAGAAACCACUUGAUUUUGAAUCUUCUUGGGCUUGUAACAUGAUAAAAAUGGGCUGGACAUGCUACCUAACAUCAUGGAUCAAUUUCUGAAUGUCUUUCAUGUCCGUAGAUUCAUAUAUCAGCCCAUGAUCACAUCAUACUCCUCCUCUUCAAAAAGAUUUGUCCUCAAAUCUUGCUCUCCGAAGAAAGAAAAACUUGAAUACACACUUCCCAAAAGAUCCAGCAGAUUUGUAGAACAUAAAUAACAAAACUUUUUUUUUUCUUUUUUUUUUUUUUAGAAGAUGGAUAGAUGAGAAUGGUGAAUAACAGAAGUGAAUACCGCUUUCAGAGUGGCUCUGAUACCAAAUGAUAAAAACCUCCCAAGGAAUACACUCUGAAAUUGGUAAGGGAUAAGCCUUGCACCGAAUGAGCCCGAAAGCAACAAACGAUCAAGGGAUGUGGAUCGAAAGGUGACACAAGAGGGGCGGAAAGUCUCUUGAUACUACCCUAUAAUGACCGCCUCUAGAUAUGACACACUAGAUUAGACCAAGUUAGACUGAAGGAUAUUACACACCAACAAUCAUAAAAGUUUUGACCAAUGGAUAUGACACACCAUGAUCGAAAACAAGUUUGAUCCCUUGGAUAUGACGCACCAAGACGGAUCGAAAAGAUCAAUGGAUAUUACACACCAUUGAAAGAAAAGUGAGAAUCACUCUCAAGGUUCCAAAAAUAAUCACUCAAAGCUUAUUUUAUUUCAAUGGAGAUUACAACUUAUUUAUAAGAGACUAAACUUGCUCACAAAGCUAGAUAGUUAUUACAUUGGAAAUGAUAAAACUAGUGCAUGGAGGAGAGAGAGUGUUCUUGAAACAAGCAUUCUUUGCAUGUAGGAGAGAGAAGCUUUCCAUGCAAUUAACCACCUAAUUUUCGUCACUCUCUUUGGACAGCAAAGAAACCAC
rnacentral:lncRNA from 1 species